AACUUCAGGGACCUUAUUUCUCAACCAGGAGCUUCAAUUAACUUUUUCUGAAGAUUUUGGUCCAUGGGGCAGCAGAAGGAGAAGGGUGAUAUGGAUUACAAAUAACAAUGCUCGACAGAAGAAGGGAAGGGAGACAUGCAGGUGAGAAGAGGUUGCCACGACGAGUUGAUAAGUCAUGCAACAAGUGGAAAGCCCGGUCAAAACGGUGUGUGUGUGGUAAUACUAUAAUGAGUUCUUUAGGUCAUGCAUUGUGUUGAGAUAUUAUGUGGAAACAUUGCCAUAAUGAUCUUCAAGAGCCUCUUAGACAGCGAUAGUCCAAGCUGAUCUUCAUCUUUCUAUUAUAGACUUUUUUUGUGAGAAACUCUGCACUUUGAGGUCCUUCACCUCAACAUGUCAUUAUCUGUAUAAUAUAAUAUUGUACAAUACCACAUUACCGAUUUCACUAUAAGAAGAUGUUUUGAUUA